GACAGAGGGUGCAAACGUUGCUCGGAAUCACUGGGCGUAAAGGGCGUGUAGGCGGGAGAGAAAGUCGGGCGUGAAAUCCCUAGGCUCAACCUAGGAACUGCACUCGAAACUUCUUUUCUUGAGUGCCGGAGAGGAAAGCGGAAUACCUGGUGUAGAGGUGAAAUUCGUAGGUAUCAGGUGGAACACCAGUGGCGAAGGCGGCUUUCUGGACGGUAACUGACGCUGAGACGCGAAAGCGUGGGGAGCAAACAGG
rnacentral:rRNA from 1 species